rnacentral:rRNA from 1 species
AGAGUUUGAUCAUGGCUCAGAAUCAACGCUGGCGGCGCGCUUAACACAUGCAAGUCGCACGAGAAAGGGGAGCAAUCCCUGAGUACAGUGGCGUACGGGUGAGUAACACGUGGAUGAUCUACCUUCUAGUGGGGAAUACCCCUGGGAAACCGGGGAUAAUACCGCAUAAGCUCGUGAGAGGAAAGCAGCAAUGCGCUGGAAGAGGAGUCCGCGGCUGAUUAGCUAGUUGGCGGGGUAAUGGCCCACCAAGGCGAAGAUCGGUAGCCGGCCUGAGAGGGCACACGGCCACACUGGCACUGAAACACGGGCCAGACUCCUACGGGAGGCAGCAGUGGGGAAUCUUGCACAAUGGAGGAAACUCUGAUGCAGCGACGCCGCGUGAGCGAUGAAGCCCCUCGGGGUGUAAAGCUCUUUCGACGGGAAAGAUAAUGACGGUACCCGAAGAAGAAGCUGCGGCUAACUACGUGCCAGCAGCCGCGGUAAUACGUAGGCAGCGAGCGUUGUUCGGAAUUACUGGGCGUAAAGAGUGUGUAGGCGGUGUUCUAAGUCUGGUGUGAAAUCUCCCGGCUCAACUGGGAGGGUGCGCCGGAAACUGGGAUGCUAGAGUGUGGGAGAGGUAAGCGGAAUUCCUGGUGUAGCGGUGAAAUGCGUAGAUAUCAGGAGGAACACCUGUGGUGUAGACAGCUUACUGGACCACGGCUGACGCUGAGACACGAAAGCGUGGGUAGCAAACAGGAUUAGAUACCCUGGUAGUCCACGCCCUAAACGAUGCAUACUUGGUGUGAGCCAUUCAUUUGGUUCGUGCCGGAGCUAACGCGUUAAGUAUGCCGCCUGGGGAGUACGGUCGCAAGGCUGAACUCAAAGGAAUUGACGGGGGCCCGCACAAGCGGUGGAGCAUGUGGUUCAAUUCGACGCAACGCGAAGAUCUUACCUGGGCUCGAACGGCUUAAGACAGAGGAUGGAAACAUUCUUUUCCCGCAAGGGACUUGAG